GUUGUUUGCACUCGCUCAACAAGUUUUCGUUUGGCUUAGUGCUGCAAUAAUCGUUCGAAGGAAAGGACACAUCAUGAAGUUGAAUUUCAUAUUUUUGCUGCUGACCCUAAUCGUAGGAGUGGCGCUCGGAUUUCCCCAGUCAAAUCCAUUUGACGAAAUAGAUCGCCUCGGAGCGAAUGAAUAUCGACAGCAGCAGUUGCCGACCAAUAUGCCUUAAGGAAAUUCCGACUCAAGUGAGAGUGAUGAAAGUUAAUCUAUUUUUGUGGUGAAAAUUGUGGAAAAGCUUGCUUCUGAAUGGAAUAAAUAAAUUUCAAAACUA